rnacentral:rRNA from 1 species
CCUACGGGUGGCAGCAGUGAGGAAUAUUGGUCAAUGGACGCGAGUCUGAACCAGCCAAGUAGCGUGAAGGAUGACUGCCCUAUGGGUUGUAAACUUCUUUUAUCUGGGAAUAAAACGUUCCACGUGUGGGAUUUUGUAUGUACCCUAUGAAUAAGGAUCGGCUAACUCCGUGCCAGCAGCCGCGGUAAUACGGAGGAUCCGAGCGUUAUCCGGAUUUAUUGGGUUUAAAGGGAGCGUAGGUGGAUUGUUAAGUCAGUUGGGAAAAUUUGCGGCUCAACCGUAAAAUUGCAGUUGAAACUGGCAGUCUUGAGUACAGUAGAGGUGGGCGGAAUUCGUGGUGUAGCGGUGAAAUGCUUAGAUAUCACGAAGAACUCCGAUUGCGAAGGCAGUUCACUGGACUGCAACUGACACUGAGGCUCGAAAGUGUGGGUAUCAAACAGGAUUAGAUACCCUGGUAGUC